rnacentral:rRNA from 1 species
GUAGGGAAUAUUGCGCAAUGGACGAAAGUCUGACGCAGCGACGCCGCGUGAGUGAUGAAGGCCUUAGGGUCGUAAAGCUCUGUUGAAUGGGAAGAAAAAAAUGACGGUACCAUUCGAGGAAGGACCGGCUAACUUCGUGCCAGCAGCCGCGGUAAUACGAGGGGUCCUAGCGUUGUUCGGAAUCAUUGGGCGUAAAGGGUGUGUAGGUGGCCAUGUAAGUCAGGUGUGAAAGCCCCGGGCUCAACCCGGGAAGUGCACUUGAUACUGCGUGGCUUGAGUAGCGAAGAGGGUAGUGGAAUUCCAGGUGUAGUGGUGAAAUACGUAGAUAUCUGGAGGAACACCGGUGGCGAAGGCGGCUACCUGGUCGAGUACUGACACUGAGACACGAAAGCAUGGGGAUCAAACAGGAUUAGAUACCCCUGUAGUCC